GAUGAACGCUGGCGGCGUGCCUAAUACAUGCAAGUCGAGCGAACAGAUAAGGGGCUUGCUCCUGUGACGUUAGCGGCGGACGGGGGAGUAACACGUGGGUAACCUAUCUCUAAGACUGGAAUAACUUCGGGAAACCGGGGCUAAUGCCGGAUAACAUUUAUAACCGCAUGGUUCUAAAGUGAAAGAUGGGUUUGCUAUCACGUAUAGAUGGACCCACGCCGUAGUAGCUUGGUGGUACGGUAACGGCUUACCAAGGCAAGGAUACGUAGCCGACCUGAGAGGGUGAUCGGCUACACUGGAUGUGAGAAUCGGCCGAGACUCCGACAGGGGGAAGCGGCAGGGAAUCCUCCGCAAUGGGGGAAAGCGUGACGGAGCACCGCGGGGGGAAUGCUGAAGGUCUUAGGAUGGUAAAGUUCUGUUAUUAGGGAAGAACAAAUGUGUAAGUAACUGUGAUCGUAUUGACGGUACCUAGUCAGAAAGCCACGGCUAACUACGUG
rnacentral:rRNA from 1 species